CUGGAAACGUGGAGGACAGACUUGGGUGCUGAGCAGAGUGUCCAAGGCAUUUCUACAUGUCUUAAGAACUACACAAAAGCAUCCAUUGAAAUGCCUGCCUAUAACCAAGCAUGCCCAUUCCGAGGAACAGGUGACAACCCCGGCUCUGCUUCCCUCCCCUCCUGAGACCUUACACUUAUGAAAGCCUUCCUGGCUGAUGAUGGGGCGGGCUUCGGAAGCUGUAUGUUGAGCGAUCCUUUUCUUCUACACAAUCAACUAAUGUGUUGAGGUCCUACUAUGUGCUACGCAUUGUUCUGGGUAUUUUGCUGACAGACUGAAGAGCCUGGUUUCACAUGCAGAAGGGGAGGAAGCUGUUCAACAUCAGAAACUGUUCAACAUCAAGCAUAAAAGGCAAGUUGUCUAGUGUCUUAGAAGAAAAGGUA